AAAAUUAUACAUAACCUCCUUUACCUCCUUGAAGCAGUUUUUUUUCUCAGAGCUGAGAGGUUGUUUCCUGGGCUACAGUCCUCAAAAUGGUCCCUGAAUAAAACUGAAAGUUCUUGCUCUUACAUUAUGUGUGGUUUUGUUUGUUUGUUUUAGUUGACACAACCCUGUAUCAAUUUUAAAAUUCAUCCCCUUGAGACAGAAUAUUAACUCAGGUAGUCAGUGCAGAAGCAAGGGCUUCGAUGCAUUCUUUGAUAUAUAUGGUCAUUGGUUAACUUUUGUGGCUUAAGGGCUCCGGGGAGUAACAUCCCCACAGGCCUUGUUUACUAUAGGGAGUGUACCUACAACCAGAUGGACAUUAAUCCCUAAUCCCGUGACUCAGUUUACAGGAAGAAAAGGACAAAGAAACUAUGAUACUUAACGGGACAUUUCCACCCCUAGGACCCUAUUGAACAAGGACUGAUAUGGGUAACUGAGCAAGGCCAAUGGGAGAAGAUGACAUCUCUCUGGACCCCACCUUGGUAUCCCUCCCCCCAACUUUAAGAAAUAACAACCCCUAUAGGACAACAGAGAAAGGGGGCUCUUCUCCCCUCUCCCAGCUGUCCUGGGAGCUAUCUGAUUUCAUUUAAUAAAGACUUUGCUUGCUUGCUACCUGUGUGUUUGCAGAGUUCAUUCUUCAACUACCGUGACCAAGAACCCAGAUUCCGGUUCAUCUUUCUGGUAUCACCCUCAUAUUCUAAAAGCUGGAAACUGCGUCUGGCUUGGGGGAAGAAAAAAAAAAUCACCCAACCUCAGAAAGCUACUACAAGGAUAGAGUUUCCUAUUUCAAUCGGUUGAUUUACAAAUCUAAAUCUUACGGAAUAUCUUUUUUCUAGGAUUUGACACACAUGCAGGUCUUUACCACUUAAAACAAAACAUUAAAAUCUGAGCUUUUAUUUUCCUCGUAAGCCUUUUCUUAUCUCAAUGACUGACCUUAUUCAUCAUUUAGUUACCUUAACCAGGCAUCCGGGAUGCCCUUAGCAACUUCCUCUCCCACUUUUCUCCAAAUUUGUUUGAUUUAGCAGCUGCCAUCUGUUAAAACUAAAAGAAUGGAACAAGACAUACCAUGAAAGUUCUACUCAGAGGACUUAAGAAGAUACAUUAACAGGAACAAAGAAAGCAAACUUAAGGAUAAAGGGUUCGAUUUGUGAGGGGGAAAAAAAGAGUUGGCUGCCAUUCCAGUUCUACAAAGAUCAAGCCAUUAUCCACUGCACUUGGCCACUGACAGUGUGCCCUGGGGGGAAUUUAGAACAGAGCCAAACUGGAAACAUUUCUUACUUUGGAUUCAUUGGCCCUUGGAUAGUUAUGAUGCAAACCUAAGGAAAAUUUUUCAGACCCAAGAUUCUUGCAUCUUCCCAAACAUUGAAAAAGACUAAAAUCAUUAAGCUGAGGUAUCUGUUCUUUGUGGUUAGCAGUACUCUUUUGAUGUUUGAUGUCAU
rnacentral:lncRNA from 1 species